rnacentral:rRNA from 1 species
GAUGAACGCUGGCGGCGUGCUUAACACAUGCAAGUCGAACGGAAAGGCUUCUGCUUGCCGGGGUACUCGAGUGGCGAACGGGUGAGUAACACGUGGGUGAUCUGCCCUGCACUUCGGGAUAAGCCUGGGAAACUGGGUCUAAUACCGGAUAGGACGAUGGUUUGGAUGCCAUUGUGGAAAGUUUUUCGGUGUGGGAUGAGCUCGCGGCCUAUCAGCUUGUUGGUGGGGUAAUGGCCUACCAAGGCGUCGACGGGUAGCCGGCCUGAGAGGGUGUACGGCCACAUUGGGACUGAGAUACGGCCCAGACUCCUACGGGAGGCAGCAGUGGGGAAUAUUGCACAAUGGGCGCAAGCCUGAUGCGGCGACGCCGCGUGGGGGAUGACGGCCUUCGGGUUGUAAACUCCUUUCGCUAGGGACGAAGCGCAAGUGACGGUACCUGGAGAAGAAGCACCGGCUAACUACGUG